rnacentral:rRNA from 1 species
UACAGAGGGGGCAAGCGUUAUUCGGAAUUAUUGGGCGUAAAGGGUGCGUAGGCGGCAAGGCAAGUCAGGUGUGAAAUCCCGGAGCUCAACUCCGGAACUGCACUUGAUACUGCCCUGCUAGAGUACUGGAGAGGAGACUGGAAUUUACGGUGUAGCAGUGAAAUGCGUAGAUAUCGUAAGGAAGACCAGUGGCGAAGGCGAGUCUCUGGACAGUUACUGACGCUGAGGCACGAAGGCCAGGGGAGCAAACGGG